rnacentral:tRNA from 1 species
GGGCGAUUAGCUCAAUCGGUUGGAGUGUGGUGCUGAUAACACCAAGGUCGCAGGUUCGAUCCCCACUUGGUCCC